rnacentral:rRNA from 1 species
UCUGGAAAGGGGCGACAUAGAGGGUGAAAUCCCCGUCUUUGGCCUGAGUUUNGAAUAGGCGUUUGGCUUGGAAACGAAGAGUCAGGUUGUUUGGGAAUGCAGCCUAAAAUGGGAGGUAAAUCUCUCCUAAAGCUAAAUAUUGACGAAAGACCGAUAGCGAACAAGUACCGGGAGGGAAAGAUGAAAAGCACUUUGAAAAGAGGGUCAAAAAGUACGUGAAAUUGCUGAAAGGGAACCGUAUGAAAUCAGACCUACUGGUAGGUAACCAAUCUUUCCUNUGGGAAGGAUGCACUUGCCUACUAUGUACGCCNGCGACNUUUUGGAAGGGAGGAAAAAAAUAAAGGAA